AAGUCGUAACAAGGUUUCCGUAGGUGAACCUGCGGAAGGAUCAUUACCAAAUCCAAAAAAAACUUUAUCAACACCCCAAUGUGCACUGAGAAUGGUUCCGUUCCCUCCUUCCCGGAGGAGGGAAUGUACUUUUUUUUUUCAACCCCUUUACAACUAUACAAACCUAUACUUUAUGCUGAAAGCAAAACAAAAACGAAACAUGAGACAACUUUUAACGGUGGAUCUCUUGGCUCGU
rnacentral:misc_RNA from 1 species